CUCCCUUGGCGAAGCAAUCUUGAUGCUGUUUCACGGUCCACUCUGCAAUGACGAGAAGACAUAUCCAAACCAGAGACGUAGAAGUGACGGCCCAGAAUUGCAUGGAAUGGCGCAGGAUGGUCCACAAGAGACGUUGCCUUGAUGCAGACCACUUGACACAACGAUGAAGAGACCUUAUCAAGUAUCAAGAUCAUCCCCAGUCCAUUCUACU